rnacentral:rRNA from 1 species
GAUGAACGCUGGCGGCGUGCCUAAUACAUGCAAGUCGAGCGAAUGGAUUAAGAGCUUGCUCUUAUGAAGUUAGCGGCGGACGGGUGAGUAACACGUGGGUAACCUGCCCAUAAGACUGGGAUAACUCCGGGAAACCGGGGCUAAUACCGGAUAACAUUUUGAACCGCAUGGUUCGAAAUUGAAAGGCGGCUUCGGCUGUCACUUAUGGAUGGACCCGCGUCGCAUUAGCUAGUUGGUGAGGUAACGGCUCACCAAGGCAACGAUGCGUAGCCUACCUGGGAGGGUGGUCGGACACGCUGGGACGGGGACACGGCCCAGACUCCGACGGGAGGCAGCAGUAGGGAAUCUUCCGCAAUGGACGAAAGUCUGACGGAGCAACGCCGCGUGAGUGAUGAAGGCUUUCGGGUCGUAAAACUCUGUCGUUAGGGAAGAACAAGUGCUAGUUGAAUAAGCUGGCACCUUGACGGUACCUAACCAGAAAGCCACGGCUAACUACGUGCCAGCCGCCGCCGUAA